rnacentral:rRNA from 1 species
GAUGAACGCUAGCGGCAGGCCUAAUACAUGCAAGUCGAACGGAUAUAUGUUUUUCGGAAUAUAUAUUAGUGGCGCACGGGUGAGUAACACGUACAUAACUUGCCCUCAAGCGGGGGAUAGCCUUGGGAAACUGAGAGUAAUACCCCAUAGAAUUAUUGGACGGCAUCGUUUGAUAAUUAAAACUACGGUGUUUGGGGAUAGAUGUGCGUCUGAUUAGCUAGUUGGUGAGGUAACUGCUCACCAAGGCGACGAUCAGUAGGGGGCGUGAGAGCGUGGCCCCCCACACGGGUACUGAGACACGGACCCGACUCCUACGGGAGGCAGCAGUAAGGAAUAUUGGUCAAUGCCCGGAAGGGUGAACCAGCCAUGCCGCGUGAAGGAUGACUGCCCUCUGGGUUGUAAACUUCUUUUGGAUGGGACGAAAAAACGGGNUUUAUCCUGGACUGACGGUACCAUCAGAAUAAGCACCGGCUAACUCCGUGCCAGCAGCCGCGGUAAAGUAGUCGUG